GACGAACGCUGGCGGCGUGCUUAACACAUGCAAGUCGAACGGAAAGGCCCUGCUUGCAGGGUACUCGAGUGGCGAACGAGUGAGUAACACGUGGGUGAUCUGCCCUGCACUUCGGGAUAAGCCUGGGAAACUGGGUCUAAUACCGGAUAGGAGCCAUUUUUAGUGUGAUGGUUGGAAAGUUUUUUCGGUGUAGGAUGAGCUCGCGGCCUAUCAGCUUGUUGGUGGGGUAAUGGCCUACCAAGGCGGCGACGGGUAGCCGGCCUGAGAGGGUGGACGGCCACAUUGGGACUGAGAUACGGCCCAGACUCCUACGGGAGGCAGCAGUGGGGAAUAUUGCACAAUGGGCGCAAGCCGGAUGCAGCGACGCCGCGUGGGGGAUGACGGCCUUCGGGUUGGAAACUCCUUUCGCUAGGGACGAAGCUUUUUGUGACGGUACCUAGAGAAGAAGCACCGGCUAACUACGUG
rnacentral:rRNA from 1 species